rnacentral:lncRNA from 1 species
UAAUUUAUGGCCCAUAAGUGAAGCAUUAUUGAAUACUCCAUUCAAGAGAAAUGGAUCACACACAUUAUGAUUCUCUCAACAAAACAAUAGGCUAUAAUCAGAAAGAAUGAACUUGUUGCAUCAACAUAGAAUUCAAAAUUAGUCAAACAGUGCAUUUCUUCAUGGCAUGCAAAACAAAGUUCAUCCUCGGUAAAAGAAAGCGCAUAAAACAAUCAUGUUUCCAUUGACUAAUAAUGCAAUCGCUUCGGUGUUAUCGGUUUUCAUCAAACAUUCUCCUGUCUUCCAUCCAAUAUCCCUACUAUUGCAGAAAGUGUCAGUAACCUGCAGAAAAAUACGAUCUCUAACAAUAAAAAAGAAGUGGCAAGGUCAACUUUGCAUUAUAUACAUGCAAAUAUAAGUAAACCAUUCAAGUGAUAAUAAACGAAGGCCCUGAAAUAGAGUAAAUAGCGUAGCGACAAUGUCAGUUACCAAAGAAAAAAGGUAAAAGUCAAAAUGAAAAGCUGACAAAGUAAAGGUAUGGUUUUAAUCUACUCCCUCGCCUAAUAUAAGACCUUUUAGCGAUUUCACUAUUGACUACAUUCAUACUAUAAUGAGUGAAUAUAGUCAUAUGCACACUAAAAUGUGUCUAGAUAUAUACGAAUCAAGAAAAAGCUAAAAGAUCUUAUAUUAGGGAACGAAGGGAGUAGUAUGCGGCACCGACACAGAUGUGGACCAAUUGGACAGGGAGGUAGUUUAAUUAUUAUAAAUGCUAAUGCGUAGUGCUAGUAACUCUCUCUAUACUUGGCGGACAUGUAUCUAGCACGCCGGGUUUUGCACGAUCUGUUAUUUCAUUUUCAUAUGUUUCAAUACUAAUCGGAGAAAAUAAAAGUUCCUCCGUGCUACUCUGUUUGACUCACAAAAUAGACUGGCAAAGAUACUACUCAAGGUUUUUCUUUUUUUCGAGAAAUAACCACUCAGCUUUUGACUCGGCAAAAUCAAAUGUGGAACUCUUUUGACAUUAGCAUCGUUGGUACCUUAGCUGAGGGUCUUGUGAUGUUGCCAUGUUUUGUUUUAAGCUGAAUCUUUCGGCUUCAAAGUAAUUAGUUAAUGCUCAAAUAGUCAGUGUUAAUCAAAGGUGUAAACAGACUGUAAAGCAAACAAGUAGUUGCAGUGAUCUUCUUCAUCACUUAUGUAGAUCGGGUUGCUGAUGCCUUUCCCUAUCAUACUGUAACCUGUACUAAAGGUCUGGAAAUGGUGUGCACACAGGAAACUAUAUUGUGCCCGAAACUACAUUUUCCAGAAUUUGCAUACAGGUUCCAUUACUCUGUUGGGAAGCAUAAACCAUUGAUCUAUACAGUAAAUUGCUUUUUCUUGAAUUUGCAUACAAGCUUGGGUUUGUAGUAACCAAACAAUACUCAGUGGCAUACAAAACUAAAAGGUACUUCCUCUGUCCCAAAUUGGAGGUAGUAUGUUGCUUGGUGGGCAAUGGCAUGUAUGUAAACAGAGAUAGAAAACAGAAAUGGAAAUAGAAUUGAAAGAGUAAGUGACCAGAUUGCGAACCUAAACAGAAAGAAUAUACAAAGGGCAUGCAUCAAAAUAUAUUUAAGUUAAUAAAUGGCAACACAUAUAUAUUAAACAACCUAAACGGAAAGAAUGUACAAAGAACAAGCAUGAAAAUAUAUUUAAGUUAAUGAAUGGCAUCACAUUAUAUAUUAACCAAAAUACACGAGUCAUCCUAAAGCCAAUAUAAAAAACCAACUAAUAAACCUGAAAGUAGGAAUCGGCAAUGCAUUAAUAUCAAAAUCUAAUUGUUCGGCAAUGAAGCAAG